rnacentral:rRNA from 1 species
CCUACGGGAGGCAGCAGUGGGGAAUUUCGGACAAUGGGCGAAAGCCUGAUCCAGCAAUGCCGCGUGCAGGAUGAAGGCCUUCGGGUUGUAAACUGCUUUUGUACGGAACGAAAAAGCUUCUCCUAAUACGAGAGGCCCAUGACGGUACCGUAAGAAUAAGCACCGGCUAACUACGUGCCAGCAGCCGCGGUAAU